AUGCAUUCCUCGCCGUCUAUGGAUCUUAUUAUAGUGUAGAGGCGAGGCUCACUUCAGCCAUGGUCCCCCAAAAUGCUGCUGUUUUCCCGUAAAAAAUGUAUACGCCGUCAUGUGGACUUCAGUUAUCAGAGAUUGUUCGGCUGUCUUUUAAGGAAUAUGUUUUCAAGUUCUGCUUUCCUAUAUCUAUAUAUUUUGAUCGCAAAUGAUGUUUUGAGUGAUAAUUCAGAUGAAUUGAAGACAGUUUUGGAGGGAGAUUCUGUCACUCUACACACUAAUAUUACUGAAGUACAGAGAGAUGAUCACAUACUGUGGAGGUUUGGACCUCGAAACACUCGAAUAGCUGAAAUCUUUAAAAGGGACCAAAUAAACUUUAUAUGGGUCAGUAAUGAUGAAAUAUUCAGAGAUAAACUGCAACUGAACAAUCAGACUGGAUCUCUCACCAUCAAGAACAUCACAAUCACUCAUACUGGACUUUAUCAGGUAGAGAUGAUCCGCAGUGGAGGAACUUCAGUGAAAAGAUUCAUUAUCAUUGUGUAUUCUCCUCUUCCUGUUCCUGCCAUUACCAAUAACUGUUCAUCAUCAUCAUCAUCAUCAUCAUCAAAGAGAUCAUCAAGCUCUAAAUGUGUGUUGGUGUGUUCAGUGGUGACUGUGACACAUGUGACUCUCUCCUGGUACAAAGGAAACAGUUUAUUGUCCUCCAUCAGUGUGUCUGAUCUCAACAGUCUCUCUCUACCUCUGGAGGUGGAAUAUCAGGAGAACAACAUCUACAGCUGUGUGGUCAACAAUCCCAUCAGAAACCAGACUAAACAUCUCAACAUUAAUGAAGUCUGUCAGACAUGUUCAGAUCAGACCCCACGUUACUAUCAUAUACCACUGAUAGUUGCUGUAGUGCUGCUGGUGAUAAUUGCAGUUAUUGGAAUUAUGAUGUUCUGGCACUGGAGGGGCGGGAAACUACCAUGUCAAAAGGUCCAAACUCAUGAGGAAGAGAUACAUUACUCUUCAACAACUUUCCGUGCACACCGUAAUCACAAUAUGAAAGCUGAAAUAGCAGAUCCAGUAUUGUACACAAGUGUCUUGUCAAGAUGAGUAUCCAACAUUAUUGGGUUGAUAUUGUAAAUCUGGUAUUGGAAUAUACAGUAAAGACAUUUAUUUUUUAAUAUAUUUAUUUAUAAAUAUUACAUUUCUAUGAUAAGUGCCUUUUUUCAAGUUUUUCAAAUGAUUUGAUGGGAUACGUUUGAUCAGUCUUUAAACAGAGUUCAUGAGAUGCUACUGAACGCCUGGUUAAUUAUCUUGUCUGUACAUGCCCAGACUUAAAAAAACCGUUGAUCCAUCUCAUUUAACUGCUGCAUAACAGCAUUACAAGGGAUGCCAAUGAAGCCAAACUAAGAUCUUGUCUAGACUUGUGCUUUGUUUUUGUAAUGAUAAACUUCAUUUGAUGAAUCAGUGUUCUGGGGUAUUCCAGACAGCAGGUUAAGAGACUUACUAUUACUUACUAGACUUCCUAUCGCUAUUAUGAGUGAAGAUGAAGAUGCCCGUUUGCAUUCAUUAACAUUAGGGGCUAUUUCCAUGGUGACUCGAGAAUUUGGCAAUCUGCUGAAACUAACGGUUGAGUAAACGAACCCUGCACAGUUUUAGGUUAAUCAACCGAGAGUUCAGGGUUUAUCUCACGGUCAGUUAACCUUGCUUUCAGGAAUACCCCUCUGGUCUGGUGCUGUGUAUUUAGAAAAUACUAGUAUUAGAAGUAUAAGUGUUAGAAGACUAUUAGUAUUACAUCACUAUUAUAGCAUCAACAUUUAAUACAGAUCUGUAGCACUGAAUUAUGAAAGUACUUUUAAUACUUUUAACUUUUAACAGACUCUUAAGUGUUACUUCUUACAACCCUCGAAAAUUGAAAAUUGACUUUUUUUUUUUUGGUCAGGAUUUAUACAUUUAUGUUCAAUCUUGUUUGUAGAUCCUGAAUGUCCUUCACUCAUUUCUAUAACACCAUUACCUUCCAAUCUGCAAUGUUCUCCUGUGUAUGUUUCACAUGUUUUCCAUGUGCCUGGAAUGCUGGAAAUCAGGGUUGCCAGAUCUCUAUAAAGCAAUUUGGUCUGAUAAAAUAAGCCUUUAUAAGCACUAUAAAAGUUCACAAAAACAUCCAUUUUCUGUCAUUAUUUAACAAUCAUUUUGUCGUUGAAGACAUAUGACUUUAUUUUUGUGCAGAACACAAAAGGAGAUAUUUUAAAGAAGGUCGUGAUCGGUGACUGUCAAUAAAAGUGUCAUGAAAGUAAUGCUUGAUCAUUUGCACUCAUGUAUACAUGGCCCAAAUCAUUAAAUCAAAUAUGGCGACAAGUCAAUAUCAUUCAAGCUCAAAGUCACGGGGUUAGGUCCAGUGGCGUAACUUGGAUUUUAAGGACCCCUCAUUGGUCGGUAAUAUGUGUUUUCUCCAAAUCAAUAAGUGUUUUCAUGAAAAAAAUUAAAAAUAAGCCCAAAUGUGCUUGUAAGUAGAGGAUAUGGCAACACUGGUUGAAACUUGCAGCCCUUAUUUUGCAUUGUGUGUUUUUCUGCUGACAUGUACUUUUUGUAUUUUAGAUUAAUUUCAAAUUCCCUUGCUGUAAUCUUUCACUUUUUAAUAAAUAACACGAGAAAACAUUAAGACUCUUUUUGUUUUAUACAUGGUCUGACUGGUUUAGUCGGAGAAGUCUAUUAUGUAUUUACACCUCUUUUCUAAACAGCUAUUAUUUGUGAUAAUUAUUUCAUCCUGUUUUAUAAGACAGGUGCCGUUUUCAAUGUACAACUGACAUUAAUGUUC